GCCUUUGUGGUGUAGUGGUCAGCACGCUCGACGCGUAUUCGAGAGGUCCGUGGUUCGAGUCCCAGCGAAGGCG
rnacentral:tRNA from 1 species